CAGGACAGGCAUUCACUUCAUGGACUUCC
rnacentral:piRNA from 1 species